CACCAGCACAAUGAUAAUGGAACAAAUUUUCACAGUAUUUCAUCCAUUCAUGUCUACAAAGAUAUAAAAGGGCCCAACUUUUCAAGAAAAUGGAGGACCCUUGUACAUGGUCUAAGCCACGAGGCUGCACAAUGGCAUCUGAUGAGACACCAACAGAUAACAGCUACUUCAAUUCGUUCUCUUUUUGUUUAGAUUCAGUGUCAGUAAAUUCGGAUCCUGAGGACUGUUCAUUCACGGAGGCAGUGCGCUGGAUUGGCUUCUUAAAUUGCACCAAGAUCAUAGUCAUGUUGUCGCAUCCUUCACCGCCUGCUGUUGAUGGUGCCAAACACCUAUCCAGUACUCUCUCGCACACUACAGAAAGCUUGCUUUCCAUACUCAGUUGUUCAUGAACAAAAUCUACUAG
rnacentral:misc_RNA from 1 species